GCCUACGGGGGGCAGCAGUAGGGAAUCUUCCACAAUGGGCGAGAGCCUGAUGGAGCAACGCCGCGUGGGUGAAGAAGGUCUUCGGAUCGUAAAACCCUGUUGUUAGAGAAGAAAGUGCGUGAGAGUAACUGUUCACGUUUCGACGGUAUCUAACCAGAAAGCCACGGCGAACUACGUGCCAGCAGCCGCGGUAAUACGUAGGUGGCAAGCGUUAUCCGGAUUUAUUGGGCGUAAAGGGAACGCAGGCGGUCUUUUAAGUCUGAUGUGAAAGCCUUCGGCUUAACCGGAGUAGUGCAUUGGAAACU
rnacentral:rRNA from 1 species